rnacentral:ribozyme from 1 species
AAAAUAAAGUAGAAGUGGAGAGGAAGAAGGAGAGAGGUGCUGAGAGUGUAUAUCAAAAUUUGUCCCUCCAAUUUCUCUUUUUUUAUUAUUUCUCCUGUUUUCCUUUUUGUAUUAUAGCUCCUAGUUUUCUUCUUGUAGGAGGAGAGGAAGGAGGAGGGGGGUGUCUAGAGUGGUUUUAAUCAA